ensembl:lncRNA LINC00320 long intergenic non-protein coding RNA 320
AGGUGGAGUAUUUGAUCCCUUUAGCAAGGCAGUGAUUUUGAAAUUCGGGUUUAGACAAAAAGAUAUUUCAAGCUCCUGAAGAACAAGUUUGAAGGAUUCAGAGCAGAGAAUUGCACCCUGGCAUGAUGCCUAUGCCAGCUGGACUGUGUGAUUUUUGUUCUUUAGUAGAAGGAUAACAUGACAUAGCAGGAAUAAUACUGCCUUUUCUUUCUGGCAUGGAUCAAGAGAAAAGAAAAUACAAGAAAACAGACAGAAGCAAGGCAAGGUACUUCUAUGGAAGGGUGAGCCCUCACAGAUGGAGCAAUGGGGCGCGCACACCUGAACAAGGGAGGGGAAGGAGUUCUUAUCCCUGAUGCAUGUGACCCCUGCUGCUGUGUCCUUCCCCUAUUGGCUAAGGCUUCUGACAGCUUUGGAGAUUGUGACAUUGGAAUAAAGGAAAAACGUACAGGACUCAUGAAGCGCUGAAAUGUUCACAAAUAUCAAGCAAAAGUCAAUGAAAUUUAUUUUGAGCUAUUUACAUCAUUUAAUAAUUGAGCAAGGUAUACUCCUAUGAACAAAAUUUGGAGCAUGUUUGUCUCUCUCUGCCUGGCGUCUUCAGAAUUUGGAAACUAGUUAUGGUUUAUAAUCAGCUAUAGAAUUUUAACACGUGCUCUCAAAUGCAAGUUUCUGAUAACUUUGGAGAUUGUGACAUUGGAAUAAAGGAAGAGCUGGAAUGUUCAUGAAUAUCAAGCAAAAGUCAUGGAAAUUUAUUUUGAGCUAUUUACAGCAUUUAAUAAUUGAGCAAGGUAUACUCCUAUGAACAAAAUUUGGAGCAUGUUUGUCUCUCUCUGUCUGCCUGGCAUCUACAGAAUUUGGAAACUAGUUGUGCUGUACUGCAUGAGAAUGCCUGCAUUUAGUAUGCGAACUGGAAUUGGCAAAGGACGAUGGCUGCUCUCCCGCUAACUUUAAAUAAGUCAUGUCACAAAUUGCAUUCGUUCCCAGAUUUCCUAAACUUUCCAGAGAAAAUGGUCUUCUCCCUGGCUCAGCAAGAAGAUGAACUUUAAACACUGAGAAACUGGUCAUCUCCCUGGCUCAACCAGAAGAUGAACUUUAAACACUACUCUCAAUGACUUGAUGUUCCCAUCACUACUCCUGUCAUAAAGGGAGGGGACUCAGAUAUUGAGAAUUUUAUGAUAGUGUGAACUGUCUGGUAUGUCAUUUAAGUAAGCCCGUUGCUGAAAUAUUUUCCAUGUUAUUAGAAAGAGCUGAAGAGAGGGAUUGAGAUGGCUUCUUUAUUUUUUGUCUUUUGGGAAUUAAAGGAACCUGGUUCAACAAGGGCCUACACCUAAGUCUCUUGUUGUACCAGAGUACAAUUUAGGACUGCUCCUGAGGAAGGAAUUAGCUAGAAAUCUAGAGAGUAAGGGUAACAGAUUUACAUAGAAUAACAGCCUCAGUAUUUUUGGUUCCUCUCCAGUAAAGAUCACAAAGAAUAUUGCUAAAUCGCUAAAACACCUUUGCAAUAACGUAAGGGCUUACAACUAUAUACCAAUGUAGCUCAGUUACUAAACUGGAGUAAACUAAUUUCUCUUGUGUAGAAAAAUUGGUUGGCUGUGGUUUUAUAGCAGAUCUGCAAUUAUUAAUAGUUAUGCCAAUAAUCGUUUAACAGUGCAUAUGUUAAUAUAUAUGGAAAGACAAUGUGUAUAGACAGAUGUGUAAAAUUGAAAAAUAAACAUAUAACAAGAGAGAAACAUCUAUCGAACAGACAAUAUACAUACACAUCAAACACAACAGCAGUUUUAGUGACCAUAAUAUUUAUUUCUCAUUUUUACAUUGCUUACUUUAGUGACAACUGAAAAUGACAGUUGGCAAUGCAGCUAACAGUUUCAAUAAAAGUAUAAAACAAAAGACUGUGUACAAAGCACCUGUCUUUCCGCUUUUGUAAUCUUCCGUUGGAAAAAAUUUACACACCUAAGUAACCAUCUGUUUUCUUCAAGAAAAAAUCAUUCUUAUUUCUCUCUCUCAUCUUGAAAACAGCUGUCAGCCAGGAGGGCAGAGCUGAAAUUUAUUGCCACAUCACAUGAAGCAUAGAACAGACUCCACUACUCCUUGAGAUUCAAAACUUUGCCUCUCACAAAGUUACCUUUUAUUUUCCUCUUGUUUGUCACUCAUCUCCCCUAGUGUGCUCUUUUUAUUUCUUUUACUAUUAAUAAUAAAAUCUGUGGAUGACUGUAUUAUUGAA